GAAACCACAGAUAAGGAGGGACUACAGUAUUAUUGGAGCCCUGGUGGCGCAACAGUUAAGAACUCAGCUGCUAACCAAAAAGUUAGCAGCCUCGAAUCCACCAGCCAUUGCUUGGAAACCUUAUGGGGCAUUUCUACGCUGUCCUAUAUAGGGUCACUAUGAAUCAGAAUUGACUCGACAGUAACAGCACAGGUACGGACUCUAUGCUAUACUACACUCUGCUGUGAUGAGAAGAAGCCUUCCAGGGACAUUGGAAACUUGGGCACACCAUGAAUGACACACAGCCUCUCUAUGCUUCAGUUUCCUCGUCUAUAAAAUGAAGACAACAUCAGCAUCUAAUUGGCUUGCUGAAUUUAUUCUCUCCCGUUGAUCUAUGGGUUUAUCCUCAGGUUGUGUGAUGCUGCUCAGUGGGUUGCUCGUGGCAAAGGGGCAUAACCAUCUUGAGUGUCUUGCUGGGAUGCUGUAGGAAGGGGGACUAACAGGACUAGACACCCACUCUGCAGAUAAGAUACCAGCCGUGGGGAGAUUCCGUGACGACAUGUGAAACCAAACAGAUCACCUCCUCCACUCAGCUUCCAAGAUGAUCAGACCUGCAGCAAGCUAACUACCAGCCACCACGCUGGGUUCUCCCUCACCAGUGGUGACAAUGAACAAAAUUAAAGUUGGAAUCGACUCGACGGCAGUGGGUUUUGGUUUUUUUAUGUCAAGGGAAGAGAAAUCCUUUGAGAAAAGCACUCAAAAGACUGCUAACUUAUCCAACAAGACACAUCUAACUAAAAGGUUAGGUAUUUUUUAAAAAAAACCAAUACAUUUUUCUUUUAGUUAGUAAUAUUUUAAGAAUUAAAGACGGGGGGGGUGUGGUCAUCCUCUAAUGACUUUGUCCCCAAGAUUUUCACUUGUCAAUAAAAGAUAUAGACAUCCAAUAUUAUUUUACUUUUAAAAUUUUAAAUUUACUUUCAAUGUAAGGCUUACAAAAGAGUCCUUGAGUCACAGAAAGAAAAUUUGUUUUCUCCAUGAGCUGAACAAUCUAUAUUCAGAGGGUAAGACAGGCAGUCUGGUACAGUGAACACAGGGCAGGACAGGCCAUGAUGGAAAAUGAAGAUGCCAGGAGUCCAGAUUCUUCUCAGGAGUCCUGUGAGUUCCUCAGAAGACUGCGUGGGCAGUGUGGGCAGGGUAACAUUGACUUCGAACAAAGGGCUCUAAGACCUGAGAAGAUGAAACCAGAUGGCUGAGCUAUCUUUGCUAAACCACACCAUGCUAAGGAAGGUUCCACUCCUCUCACCUCAGAGCUGGAGCCCUGGUGGUUCAGUGGCUAAGAGCUCGGCUGCUAACCAAAAGGUCAGCAGUUCAAAUCCACCAGCCACUCUUCAGAAACCCUAUGGGGCAGUUCUACCCUGCUCCAUAGGGUUGCUAUGAGUCAGAAUCAACUCGAUGGUAAUGAGUUUAGUUUGGUUGGUUCUGGUCCCCUCAAAGCAGCCAGAGACAUGCCCCUCCCUCUUUUCAGUCCCUGAGAGAAUGUCUAAGUAGCUAGAGGCCGGAGCGGAAAAGCUGAGAGUCAUCUUCAAACCAUCCACCUUCAAUAAAAUUUCCUGAUAAUGGUGCCUCACAGAAGCCCUCUCCACCCCACCCCCAACUACAGGUCAGCCCCUCAACCACUACAGCCCUGGGCAAGCCAACCCAGAAGGGGCCCAAGGAUGUGCAAAGGCCUCUGGCCAAGCCAAGGUGCCCCACUUGCACUUUCACCACAGAGCAAGCUGACUUAACCUCAAGCCAACUUCAUCCCUGCAGGGGCAAUUCAUUUCUAUUCUUAGUCACCCACUUAGAGUAAAAAAAAUACCAAACCAAACCCACUGCCGUCGAGUAGAUUCCAACUCAUAGCGGCCCUAUAGGACAGAGUAGAACUGCCCCAUAGAGUUUGCCAAGGAGCGCCUGGUGGAUUUGAACUCCUGCCCUCUUGGUUAGCAGCCAUAGCACUUAACCACUACACCACCAGGGUAAUUCCUUCUCCAGAAAAGGACAGGCCUAGGAGCCACUAAGGCCUCAGCUGGAGUCCCCUCUGCCAUGUUCUAAGGACCAUGGCUUAGAGCAAAUGGCUUCACCUCCCAGAGGCCAAGGCUUCCCUCUGUGACAUGGGGUUCAGGCUACUUACUUCUCGGGGUUUCGGCAGGAGAACACUGCCCUACUCCCCCUGCCCCAGCAAACCACCUCUUCCCCACCAGACAUCAGCAUCAUGAGGUCAGAGACUGUCUUCUUCACUUCUGUAUCCUCAAGUGGCCAAAACACUGAUCAACACAUAGCGUUGUUGUUGUUAUUAACUUCUGUCCAGUCAGCCCCGACUCAUGGCAACCCCACAUACAAUGGAAGGAAACGCUGCCCGGUCCUGCACAAUUCCAAGAUCGGCUGGAGAUUGGGCUGCUGUGAUCCAUAAGGUUGGGUUUUCACUGGCAGUUUUGUGUGUGUGUGUGUGUGUGUGUGUGUUGUAGGAAUCUUUUUAUCAUUUAUUUAUGUUGUGCUUUAGGUGAAAGUUUACAGAGGAAAUUAGUUUCUCACUAAACAAACUGUUCUGUAACAUUGGUUGCCAACCCCAUGAUGUGUCAACACUCUCUCCUUCUCCACCCCUGGAUUUCCUGUUUCCAUUCGUUCAGUUUUUCUGUCCCUUCCUGACUUCUUGGCUUUUCUUUUGGACGGGUGUGCCCAUUAGUCUCGUACACAUGAUUGGACUAUGAAGCUGGUUCCUCACAUGUAUUAUUAUUUGCCCUAUAGACCUGUCUAAUCUUUGGCUGAAGGGUGAACUUCGGGAGUGGCUUCAGUACUGGGGUAAAAGGGUGUCUGAGGGACACACUCUUGGGGUUUCUCCAGUUUCCGUCAGAUGAGCAAGUCUGGUCUUUUGUGUGUGUGCGUGUGUGCGCAUGCAUGUGGCUGAAUUUGAAUUUUAUUCUACAUUUUUGUUCCCACUCUGGCUGGGACCCUCUAUUGUGAUCCCUGUCAGAGCAGUCAGUGGUGGUAGCUGGGCACCAUCUCCUUGUUCUGGUCUUAGUCUGGUGGAGACUGUGGUAGUUGUGGUCCAUUAGUCCCCUGGACUAACCUUUCCCUGUGUCUUUGGCUUUCUUCAUUCUUCUUUGCUCCAACUGGCUGAGUUUUUGAAAGUAGAUCAUCAGGCCUUUCUUUCUAGUCUGUCUUAGUCUGGAAUUUAUGCUUAAACCUAUUCAAUAUCACAGCAACACGCAAGCCUCCACUGACAAGACGCUGGUGGCUAUGCACGAGGUACAUUCACUGGCUGAAAAUCAAACCCGAGACUCCCUCGUGACAGUGAGCAUUUUACCACUGAACCACCAAUGCCUCUUCAGCACAUGGCAGGUUUGCAAUAAGUAUGUGGUGCUCAACCCCCCAAGCCUGUUUCCACAUCCAUAAAAUGAACACAAUGUGACAACACUUGCAAAAAGCACUUAGAACAAUGUCCAGCCCACAAGAGGUACCGGCCCACAUUAAAACCAAACCCGUUGAUGUCGAGUCGAUUCCAACUCACAGCGACCCUACAGGACAGAGCAGAACUGUCCUACCAGGUUUCCAGGGAGUGGCUGGUGGAUUCAAACUGCUGACCUUUUGGUUAGCAGCCCAGCUCUUAACCACUAUGCCACCAAGGCUGUAUUGUUAAUGAGAUGUCUACCCAAAAGGCAAAAAUAAAACUGCCUUCUGGUUUGGGUCCUGCCAUUGCUGAUAAAUCUAUAGCGGCCGAGGUAGAAUGCAAAUAAAACAGGCCCUUCAUCUGUUCCUGAACAGUAAUUAGGAUGGUCACAUUCACUCCUCCUUCAUAAUACGUAAUCUUCUCGUUUGUCUUUUUAAGAAUAAAACAACACCUUGCAUAGUGGCAGCAUGAACUAGUGAACUGCUCCAUUCUUUUAAACGAUUAUUUUGCUGUAUACUGUUAAAUCACUUUAACGUGGAGCUUACGUACCUGUUAGCUAGCCAGUAAUUUCCUAAGAGUAUGCUCUUGCAAAAACACAUAUUUACACUUCACAGUUAGUUUUAAGGUGCUUCUAGUGCUGGUUUUUUAAAAAGUGGAGCUUAAAAAAAUUUAAAAAAAAAAAAAAAAAAAAAACCUUUUUUUUUUUUUCCGGUUUUUGUUGUUUUAUGUUACUAUUGUUUCCUAAGAUUGCCAGAUGACUCUGGGGUGUCGUUCCCAUUUUCUCCCCGUGUCAUGAGAGAGAGAACGCAAACAAGAGAUCAGAAGGAAGGAAGACAGACACACUGCUUUAAAAGGCGAAGGCCAAGCUUCGUUCUGACCUAACUGCUUCCUGACAUAACAUUUGCCUAAGAUCACGCUAUAUUACGGAAACAGCUUAGCAGGGCAGCAAGAUGAGGAACUGAGGCUUCUGGGAGCAUGAGAUUCAAAAAUGAGGAACUUAAUUUUGAUGAGAAAUAGGGAUGUUAAAAAUCCUACUAAUGAAACUGCCCUUGAGCAAACCGAGAUGACAAGCCUUUGGUGCUCACCCAGACAGCCCGCCCUCACCCCUCUUAGCCACAGGCUCUGAGAGGCCCAUCCACCUUUCCACAAGAUCCACACGUCAAGGUCACUGGCUCGUGGAACCUUCUUCACAGACACCAAGAGGCCUCUCAGAACCACAGUCUAGCCCCACAACUGAUGUCAUUAAAAUUCUGCUGUGAACUGCUACAGAGAACUUGUGACCAAGGGGCUUUUUUUUUAAUUUUUUUUUUUACUGUGUUUUAAGUGAAAGUUUACAGAUCAAGUUAGUUUCUCAUACAAAAAUUUAUACACACAUUGUUAUGUGACCCUACUUGCUCUCCCUACAAUGUAACAGCACCCUCCUCCUCUCCACCCUGUAUUUCCCAUGUCCAUUCAACCAGCUCCCGUCCCUUUCUACCUUCUCAUCUCGCCUCUGGACAGGAGCUGCCAAUUUAGUCUCAUGUAUCCACUUGAACUAAAAAGCACACUCUUUGUCAGUAUCAUUUUAUGUCUUAUAGUCCAGUCUAAUAUUUGUCUGAAGAGUUAGCUUCGGGAAUGGUCUUAGUUCUGGGCUAACAGAGAGUCCAGGGGCCAUGUCUUCCAGGAUUCCUCCAGUCUCAGUAAGACCAUUAAGUCUGGUCUUUUUACGUGAAUUUGAGCUCUGCACCUCACUUUUCUCCUGCUCCAUCUGGGACUCUCUGUUGUGUUCACUGUCAGGGCGGUCAUUGGUGGUAGCUGGGCACCUCUAGUUCUUCUGAUCUCAGGUUGAUGAAGUCUUUGCUUUACGUGGACCUUUCUGUCUCUUGGGCUCAUAUUUUACUUGUAUUUUUGGUGUUCUUCAUUCUCCUUUGCUCCAGGUGGGUUGGGACCAACUGAUGUAUCUUAGAUGGCUGCUCAUUAGCUUUUAAGACCCCAGACACCACUCACCAAAGUGUGAUGCAGAACAUUUUCAUAAUAAACUUUGCUAUGCUAAUUGACCUAGAUGUCCCCUAAAACCAUGGUCCCCACACCCCCACCCCUGCUACUCUGUUCCUCGAAGUGCUUCCUUAUAUUCAGGAAACUUCUUAGGCUUUUGGUUUAGUCCAGUUUUGCUGACACCCCUGUAUUGUGUUGUUCUUCCCUUCACCAAAGAUACUUCUUGUCUACUACCUAAUUAAUGAAUUCCCCUCUCCCUCCCUCCCCACCCUUGUAAGCAUCAAAGAAUGUUUUCUUCUGUGUUCAAACCUUUUCUUGAGUUCUUAUAACAGUGGUCUCAUACAAUAUUUGUCCUUUUGUGACUGACUAAUUUCGCUCAGCAUAAUGCCUUCCAUAUUCAUCCAUGUUAUGAGAUGUUUCAUGGAUCAUCAUUGUUCUUCAUCGUUGUGUAGUAUUCUAUUAUGUGAAUAUACCACAAUUUGUUUAUCUAUUCAUCUGUUGAUGGGUACCUGGGCUGUUUCCAUUUUUUUGCUAUGUAAACAGUGCUGCAAUGAACAUGGGUGUGCUUAUAUCUAUUUGUGUGAGGGCUCUUAUUUCUCUAGGAUAUAUUUCAAGGAGUGGGAUUGCUGGAUCGUAUGAUACUUCUAUUUCUAGCUUUUUAAGGAAGCGCCAUAUUGAUUUCAAAAGUGGUUGCACCAUUUUACAUUCCCACCAGCAGUGUAGAAGUGUUCCAGUCUCUCCACAACCUCACCAACAUUUAUUAUUCUGUGGUUUUGGGAUUAAUGCUACCCUCAUUGGGGUUACAUGGUAUUCUAUUGUAGUUUUGACCCGUAUUUCUCUAACGGCUAACGAUUGUAAGCAUUUCCUCAUGCAUCUGUGAGCUGCCUGAAUGUCUUCUUUGGUAAAGUGCCUAUUCAUUUUUAUUUGGUUGUCUUUUUGUUCUUCGGGUUUUGCAAUACCUUGUAAAUUUCAGAGAUUAGACCCUGAUCAGAUAUGUCGUAGCCAAAUUUUUUCCCCUAGUCUGUAGGUUGUCUUUUGACUCUUUUGGUGAAGUCUUUGGAUAAGCGUUAAGUAUUUAAUUUUUAGGAGCUCCCAGUUAUCUAGUUUGUCUUCUGGUGUUUGCACAUUGUUACUUAUGGUUUGUAUUCUGUUUGUUAGUUAUGGUUUGCAUUCUGUUUAUGCCAUGCAUUAGGGCUCCUAGUGUCCCUAUUUUUUCUUCCAUGAUCUUUAUUGUUUUAGAUUUUAUAUUUAGGUCUUCAAUCCACUUUAAGUCAGUUUUUGUGCGUGUAAGUUAUGGGUCUUGUUUCAUUUUUUUGCAGAUGGAUAUCCAGGUAUGCCAGCACCAUUUGUUAAAGAGACUGUCUUUUCCCCCAUUUAACAGACUUUGGGCCUGUGUCAAAUAUCAGCUGCCCAUAAGUGGAUGAAUUUAUGUCUGGAUUCUCAGUUCUGUUCCACUGGUCUAUGUAUCUGUUGUUGUACAAAUACCAGGCUGUGCUGGCUACUAUAGCAGUAUAAUAGGUUCUAAAAUCAGGUAGUUUGAGGCCUCCCACUUUGUUCUUCUUCAGUAAUGUUUUACUUAUCCGAGGCCUCUUCCCUUUCCAUAUGAAGUUGAUGAUUUGUUUCCCUAUCUCAUUAAAAACUGCCAUUGGAAUUUGGAUCCAGAUUGCAUUGUUAUCUAUAGAUCACUUUGGGUACGAUAGACAUUUUCACAAUGUUCAGUCUUCCAUAUCCAUGAGCAAGGUAUAUUUUUCCACUUAUGUAGGUCUCUUUUGGUUUCUUGCAGUAGUAUCUUCCAGUUUUCUUUGUAUACGUCUUUUAUGUCUCUGGUUAGAUUUAUUCCUAAGUAUUUUAUCUAAUCGGGGGCUAUCGUAAAUGGUAUUGAUUUGGUGAUUUCCUCUUUGACGUUCUCUUUGUUGGUGCAGAGCAAUCUAGCUGAUUUUCGUAUGUUUAUCUUGUAUCCUGAUACUUUGUUGAAAACUUCUAUUAGUUCCAGUAGUUUUCUUGUGGAGUUUUCUGUGUAUAAGAUCAUAUCAUCUGCAAAUAGAGAUACUUUUACUUCUUCCUUACCAAUUUAAACCAAAAAAAAAAAAAAAACAAAAAAACC